rnacentral:rRNA from 1 species
CCUACGGGAGGCAGCAGUGAGGAAUAUUGGUCAAUGGCCGGAAGGCUGAACCAGCCAUGCCGCGUGAAGGUCAGUGCCCUAUGGGCGUUAAACUUCUUUUGUGCGGGAGCAAUAAUGGUCACGUGUGGCCAGACGAGAGUACCGUACGAAUAAGCAUCGGCUAACUCCGUGCCAGCAGCCGCGGUAAUACGGGGGAUGCAAGCGUUAUCCGGAUUUAUUGGGUUUAAAGGGUGCGUAGGCUGUGAGGUAAGUCAGCGGUGAAAUGCCCCCGCUCAACGGGGUGAAGUGCCAUUGAUACUGCCUGGCUGGAAUGCGGAUGCGGUGGGAGGAAUGUGUGGUGUAGCGGUGAAAUGCAUAGAUAUCACACAGAACACCGAUUGCGAAGGCAUCUCACGAAGCCGCGAUUGACGCUGAUGCACGAAAGCGUGGGUAUCAAACAGGAUUAGAUACCCUAGUAGUC